rnacentral:rRNA from 1 species
UAGGGAAUCUUCGGCAAUGGACGAAAGUCUGACCGAGCAACGCCGCGUGAGUGAAGAAGGUUUUCGGAUCGUAAAACUCUGUUGUUAGAGAAGAACAAGGACGUUAGUAACUGAACGUCCCCUGACGGUAUCUAACCAGAAAGCCACGGCUAACUACGUGCCAGCAGCCGCGGUAAUACGUAGGUGGCAAGCGUUGUCCGGAUUUAUUGGGCGUAAAGCGAGCGCAGGCGGUUUGUUAAGUCGGAUGUGAAAUCCCCGGGCUCAACCUGGGAACUGCAUUCGAAACUGGCAGGCUAGAGUCUUGUAGAGGGGGGUAGAAUUCCAGGUGUAGCGGUGAAAUGCGUAGAGAUCUGGAGGAAUACCGGUGGCGAAGGCGGCCCCCUGGACAAAGACUGACGCUCAGGUGCGAAAGCGUGGGGAGCAAACAGG